GUAGGGAAUAUUGGACAAUGGGGGCAACCCUGAUCCAGCGACGCCGCGUGAGUGAUGAAGGCCUUCGGGUCGUAAAGCUCUGUUGCAGGGGAAGAACACAAUGACGGUACCCUGCUAGAAAGGAUCGGCUAACUUCGUGCCAGCAGCCGCGGUAAGACGAGGGAUCCUAGCGUUGUUCGGAAUUAGUGGGCGUAAAGCGGGUGCAGGUGGCUUGGUAAGUCAGAUGUGAAAGCCUGGGGCUUAACACCAGAAGUGCAUUUGAUACUGCUGAGCUUGAGUGCUGGAGAGGCUAUUAGAAUUCAUGGUGUAGUGGUGAAAUACGUAGAUAUCAGGAGGAAUACCGGAGGCGAAGGCGGAUAGCUGGCCAGACACUGACACUCAGACCCGAAAGCGUGGGGAUCAAACAGGAUUAGAAACCCCUGUAGUCC
rnacentral:rRNA from 1 species